rnacentral:rRNA from 1 species
GACGAACGCUGGCGGCGUGCCUAACACAUGCAAGUCGAACGGAGAUUUCAGCAAUGAAAUCUUAGUGGCGAACGGGUGAGUAACGCGUAGACAACCUACCUUGUAGUUGGGGACAACACUGCGAAAGUGGUGCUAAUACAGAAUGUUGUAUUUUGGAUGCAUAUUCUAAAUACUAAAGGUGGCCUUUAUUUAUAAGCUACCACUAGACUAUGGGUCUGCGUCUGAUUAGCUAGUUGGUGAGGUAAUGGCUCACCAAGGCGACGAUCAGUAGCCGGUCUGAGAGGAUGAACGGCCACACUGGGACUGAGACACGGCCCAGACUCCUACGGGAGGCAGCAGUAGGGAAUCUUCCGCAAUGGACGAAAGUCUGACGGAGCAACGCCGCGUGAGUGAAGAAGGUUUUCGGAUCGUAAAACUCUGUUUUCAGGGAAGAAUGUGCCGAUUGUAAAUAAGGGUUGGUAAUGACGGUACCUAACAAGAAAGCCACGGCUAACUACGUGCCAGCAGCCGCCGUAAUAC